UAUUAGUCAAUGCUCGUAAGAGUGAACUAGCUAACUGAAAUCAUAUUUGUGACAAAUGUGAUGUCGUAAGGGAAAAUAAUGAUAUUACCUUACUAAUAGUGUCGUCUAAAACUGGUGCCAGAAGACUCGGUAAGGCCAGAGACACAAAUGUUAAUCGUCUUAAUCAGGCGUAAAGGGUUUGUAGGCUGCCUUGAAAAUAUUAAUUUAGUAUAGCUAUUCUUUAUUUAUAGAAUAAUCGAUUUUGUUAUUGGAGUUAAAAAUAAUUAUACUGAUGAUUAUUCGUAGUAAUUAAUGUAAUGUAAAUUGGUACGAAUUAAGGCUAGAAUCAAAUAGAGGAUAUUUACGAAAUAAUGCUUGGUCGAGGGCUGAGAUCCGUAGACACCAAGUGGAGUGCGAAUGGCGUAAGCAUUUAUCCAUUAAUGAUUGACGCUGAGAAACGAAGGUGAGGAUAGGAAAUUGGAUUAGACCUCAGAUACCCCUCUCUGUCAACGAUGAAUGGUAGUUUGUUAGUCUUAAGGACUAGUGACGAAGUUAACACGUUAACCAUUCCGCCUUGUGAGUACGGCUGCAAAGUUGAAAACAAAAAAAUUAGUCGGUCUCGGAGCAAACGAAGUGAAGUAUGUUAUUUAAU
rnacentral:rRNA from 1 species